CAGUGGCACUGGCGUUCCUAAUUCUUAGGAGCCUUCUGAAAACCUCACCUAAAGUGCUGUGUGUUCAUGCUAGGCCGAUCACACCAAAAUGUUUGUUUCUAGAUUGGAGCCAAGAUCUGCUACUGGAAGUCUUCAGCAUGUAAUGAUGACAGAAAAUUAGUCAUCACAAUGGAUCCAUGUUUAAGGAUCUAUUUUGAAUUGCUGGCUAAGCGAUCAGCUGCCACCAUGAGGAUUCAACAUACAGUAUCUUCAGUACCACAACGGCUCUUGAAUUCCACCUCCUGGAGCCACCCCUCUGGACAGCAGGACAGCCCCCAAACUGCCAGUGACCUCACUUGGUCCCGGCAGCUCUACUUUAACCAGCACCUUUCCCUUGAGUUGGUCUCAUAGCCGGAGUCAGUUUUCAUGGGGAGACUCUGCUUUUCAGGAUAACGGCAAGUUAGAAAACACAGGACAGGACUUGAAAUGCCUGGAUCAUGACUCCCAUUGAAAAUCUGCCCAGAUACAGCCCUGCUGUAGUGAUCUGCCUAUGGGACAUACCCUGGCCUGCUUCCCCCCCGAAAGUGAUGACGUAUGUGGUAGUGUUCUCUGUAAGAAUAAAAGAGUCUAUUUACCCUGUA